GCCUUCUUGGUGUAAUUUGAAACACGUCUGACUGGUAAUCAAGAGGUCCGGAGUUCUAAUCUCGGCGAAAGCA
rnacentral:tRNA from 1 species